AUACGGAGGGUGCGAGCGUUAAUCGGAAUUACUGGGCGUAAAGCGUACGUAGGCGGUUCGUUAAGUUAGAUGUGAAAGCCCCGGGCUUAACCUGGGAACUGCAUUUAAAACUGGCGGACUAGAGUUGAGUAGAGGGGAGUGGAAUUUCAGGUGUAGCGGUGAAAUGCGUAGAGAUCUGAAGGAACACCAGUGGCGAAGGCGACUCCCUGGACUCGAACUGACGCUGAGGUACGAAAGCGUGGGUAGCAAACGGGAUUAGAAACCCCAGUAGUCC
rnacentral:rRNA from 1 species